GUGGCUCAGUAGUAGAGCACUUGCCUAGCAUGCAUGAGGCCCUGGGUUCAAUUCCUCAGC
rnacentral:tRNA from 1 species